AUCGCCUACGGGGGGCAGCAGUGAGGAAUAUUGGUCAAUGGACGAGAGUCUGAACCAGCCAAGUAGCGUGAAGGAUGACUGCCCUAUGGGUUGUAAACUUCUUUUAUAUGGGAAUAAAACGUUCCACGUGUGGGAUUUUGUAUGUACCAUAUGAAUAAGGAUCGGCUAACUCCGUGCCAGCAGCCGCGGUAAUACGGAGGAUCCGAGCGUUAUCCGGAUUUAUUGGGUUUAAAGGGAGCGUAGGUGGAUUGUUAAGUCAGUUGUGAAAGUUUGCGGCUCAACCGUAAAAUUGUAGUUGAAACUGG
rnacentral:rRNA from 1 species